UGAAAUAGGUUAGGAUAUUAUGUUUACUGUAACUUACAAUAUUUAUACUGGACAUAUUUAAAAGUAUACCCUGGUUUUAUUUAGUUUUACGAUUGUCUUUAUAAAUUCAUCAAGCGAUGGUUAACGACGCGUAUGCUCGUAUUACAAUUGUUGUAUACAUGUUGAUAAAUAUGUGUACACUUGCAAUCGGUCAAUCUUGUCCAGCCUAUUGCUCUUCUUUCGAACAAACCUUCGGUCAAAACAAAUGCACAUCAUGUGAAACAGAAUACUUCUUAUCGAAUGAUGAAUGCAAAUCUUGUACGUACAUAGGUACGAACUGUAUUAUAUGCAGCAAUGGCACAUAUUGUAGCAAAUGCUUACCCGGGUUUUGGGACACAAACUGCGGAGCAAUUUGUUCAGACGGUUGUGACACGAACUCGUGCAAUGUGUUAAAUGGGUCUUGUGCCUGCAAACAAGGUUUUUAUGGAUCGACAUGUCAGGUUCCGUGUUCUCAAAACUGUCUCACAGACACUUGUGGACCUAACGGUGAAUGUGGUUGCAAAGCGGGAUAUUACGGAAGCUCAUGCUAUGGAAAUUGUUUUGAAACCUGUGAAGAUUGCACCGAUGCUACGACAUGCUCGCUUUGUCCGCCUGGAAAGUAUGGAACCCUUUGUGGUGACUCAUGUCAGUGUAGCAGUAGAUGCGACAUAGUGACUGGUGCAUGUAUGAAUUAAAUAUGUCCAAACAAUUGCAUAGUAUGCAUGGACAGUGAAAACUGCAGUGAGUGUGAUCAAGGUUGGUAUGGUCCAAAAUGUAACUAUAUGUGUUCCGACAAAUGUAAUGGGGAAUGUGAACAAUAUUCCGGAAAUUGCAAUGUGUGCUAUCAGGGCUUCUUCGGACUGCAAUGUGUCGAUGAAUGCAUAUAUUGCCGUGACAGUAUCUGCAACAAAGCGGGGGAGUGUGUUUUGUGUUAUGUGGGAAAAUUUGGAUUAUUUUGUAAUAAUACAUGUUUUAGUGACUGUGUUGAUAAUAGAUGCAACCAGAUAGACGGAUCAUGUCAACAUGAGGUUCAAUGUCCUAGAAGUGUGUUACCUGUACAGACAAUGUUACAUGCACUGAAUGCAAGAAGUCUUAUUACGGCUUUUUAUGUACGUUUGAAUGUAGCAGUACGUGUAAAGGUGGAAAUUGUGAAUUAGAAUCUGGUCGUUGUGAGAAGUGCGAAUCAACAUAUUAUGGAAACUUUUGUGAAAAAACUUGCUCUGAGAGCUGUGCACAUUCCCAAACAGAAUCAGUAUGCGACCCAACAGGAAAGUGCAACAAUGGAUGUAUUGAUGGUUUCAUUGGUGAUACGUGUACUACAGAAGCCGGUAACCAAUCACAUGAUGGCCCUGAAGAAGGAACUGGCUCUAGCUUGAUGAUCGUUGGAGCAGUUAUUGGUACUCUUGGCGUAUUUGUUGUUAUAUCACUGGUUGUGGUGUUAAUAUUAAAGAAGAAAGGCAUUAUUUGGAAGACGCAGCAGAAGACAUAUGAAGACAUAUCGCCAGAACAAAACCAGGAUAAACCCUACACAAAGUUAGACGAGACAAACACGACGUCGUAUGAGAUUCCCGAUACUGAAACAAGGUCAGGCAUGCGUAACGAAGGCACAGACGAUGGUGUAUACUACAAUGACGAAAAGGCAUACUACAAGAAUGUAGGUGGACGUGUGCAGAUGACAUGACUAACGCUUAGAAGGUUUAGCGAUGACCAGUUCUACAAUAUCGACGAUGUAUACUACAAUAUAAAAAGUAACGUUUAGAGGUUUUGACCAUGACAAGUUCUACAAUUAUUAUAUAUCGAUGAUAUAAUUAAAGGACAUGAGCAGAAAACAUGACCAUUGAAACAAAUAUGUUGUGGAUAUUGCAUAUAUUGUAUGGUUUUGAACCAUGUGCCUCAAAACUAAGACUGGGUUGUAAGACCAUAAAGCUAUGUAUCAUACUCAUCUAACUUUGGCGUAUAUAACCCGUUGUAUUCUUAGUCUUGAAAUAUAUCACGACUUGUCGAUGCGAAGAAUUAGGAAGGCGCAUUAUGUUCAAUGAAUUUUUACUAAGACACAUUUAAUCUAUGACAUCGUUUCUAAAGUUGUUAAUACAUAUCUAACAAGCAAUGACAAAAUAUUGGUCUCCGUAAGUAUUUUACCCUAAAGAAAAUCAUAGAUAAACACAAACUCAAAACAACAAGUUAUGUGUAUUUCGAUGCUAUGUUUGUAUUAGGAUUGUAAAUAAAUAAACACAGGUUCUUUCGGCAGUGUA